GAAGGAGGGGGACCUCAUGCGGCAGCGCGCUGUGAGUGCUGUGAAUGGUACAAAGGGAUGAUGUGGCGCAGCAUAUUUUUAAAGCGUGUGAAGUGUACCACGUCGAGGGGGAAGCCGUCGUCAGAGACACGAUUCACCACCCAGGCGCCUGUCCUGGUGCUGAGAAAUACCUGCCGGAAGAGAUGCAGAAAUGCAACAGUGCUGCCUUGGGGCCCAACUCAAGGAUCUGGGCUCUCUUGCGCUAGGUGCUGUACAAACAAAAGUGAUGAAGACAGUUUUCACUCCAGAGAGCUUGCAGUUUAGAAUGAGGACAACACACGAUCAGUGACGAGACAUGUGGAAAUGAGGGGAGGUGGGAUAAGGUAAUAUUUAUUCAUCAACACCAGACAAACCAUUGUGGAACAUCAGAGGACAAAAGACUGUGUUAAUUACCCUCCCUAAUGAAGAGAUGUGCAAUUGAAUUCCUCCCAACAGUUGAAUUUGCAACUCAACACAGAUGAGGGAAGGAAUAAAAAGUCCUAACAAGGAGGAACUGUAUCUUUUAUGCUUCUCUUGCUUUGAAGGGCAAGGAUUACUACACAUGAGCAAAAGAUCCCCAGGCCUGGGUUAACCCUA